GUAUUAAAUAGCAAUAAUUACGUUGGCAGGAGAAAAGUCCCGCUGCCUGCUUUCAUCAGUCUUUUCAAAUCCCCUUCAUUCCCCAUCAUUGGAAAUUUAAAUCCUGUCUCCAUGCCUUUCCCAUUUCUUCACCAUCUCUUUCUCUUCAAAUUUUUGUUCUCAUUCGUUUUUAGCUUUGGGUAAUCAGAGGUGAAAUACACCCCAUUUAUUUCUCUUUCUCUCGCUUGCUCUAUUUUCAAGUUCUUUCUCAUUCUUUUUCAGUUUUAGUUUAACCAGAGGCUAAAGAAAAAACACAUAAGCACGUUACAGUAGGAAUAUAGUUUUCGUUAGAGAGAUAAAGCCUAAGUUUUCUCAGUAGUUUCUUUUUUUUUUUUUGUGAUAUUAAAAUCACUUGCUUCAUCGGAGGGUCAUUUUAGAUCUAUGCUUCUUUAGAUGUAUUUCAGUGGGUUAUUUUGGGUUUUCAGCCCUAGGAAAUACUGUUUCGGUUCAUAUUUUCAAAUCUAUGGAUGUCGGUGUGGUUGUUCUUGUUGGAUGCUUUGAGAAAGAAAGAAACUCUGGUUCUGCAAGAUUUUACCAGCAGUGGCCUCUCUUUUACAGUCAACUACUUUAUUAUUCAUAUUCUCCAUUACAUUGAUUCUUGUCCCAAACAGACACGCUAUUCCCUUCAUCGUAUCGCACGGUAAUGUUCUUAUCUCAAUAUCUUUUCUUUUUAAUUUUAAUUGCCUAUUGGGUUUGAAUUAAUCAAAGUUUCUCACUUUCACUUGUUAUGUUGGGUCAAUUGUUGAUUUCCAUGGAAAUGGGAACUAUGUUUUUGGAGAAACCAAUGAACCGCAAUGAUUGUUUGCUUGGUGGGGUUAUUGAAACCUGUCAUAUGCUAUGAAGCUCCAUUAGUAAUUGUAGAACAUGGUGAUAAACAAAAUGAUUAGUGCAAGAUGUUUGUUAUCGUCUUGCUGGCAAAUUUUGUUCCAAUGCAAGGAUGAAAUUUAUUGUUCUACUUUGGGGGGAGAAAUCACGCCUGGCCAACAAUGAAACACUCGGUGUACCUGUAUUCAGUUAUAAGGAGAUGGUGAAGUUAGGAAGAGAAAAUUGUGCUGUCCUUAUUGAUUCUCUUGAUGCUAGAAAAGGUUGCAGAUAUGAAGUGAUCGGCUCACAUGAUAUUGCUGCCAUUGUAUAUACGAGUGGAACCACUAGUAACCCAAAAGGCAUUAUGCUUUCACAUAAAAACUUAUUGCACCAGAUAGAAAAUUUGGGGGUUCUUGGACCUGCUAAAGCGGGGGAUAGAUUUCUAAGUAUGCUUCCUACUUGGCACACAUAUGAGCGGGCUUGUUAGUAUUUCGUAUGUACGCAUGGAAUUGAGCAAGUAUAUACAACUGUGAGAACUUUGAAGGUUUUGUUUAUUUUAGGUUUACAGUCUUUAAAUUUAUAUAGAAUAAAUUGAUAAAUAUGAAUCACUUUGACUUAAGUUGUACCAUGUUCACUAGUACAUUCAAUGAUUCUCUUCUUUGCUUAAUUGUUAGUUUAUUAGUAAUUUAAAUAUGUUGAUUAUGUAUAUUUUUAUUUUGUUUUGUAGGAUGAUUUGAGAAAUUAUAAGCCAAAUUACAUGAUUUCAGUACCUUUAGUGUAUGAAACAUUCUAUAGGUAUGUCAUUUACUUGGGAGUUGGGACAUCGAUGAUCUUAAUUAAUUAGCUUCGUUGGAAUUUUUAUCUUUGCAACAACUAUAUAUUACUAUUAUAUUUGUCUGUGCAGGCAAUUGAGUUCUCUUUAAUAAACAAAAAGAAAAAAAAAAGUUAAUUGUUUAUGUUGCAUUGCAUCCAUAUGUCUUGUAAUUUUAUGUGUUCCAUCAGUUUUCGGUCAUGUUGCAUUCCCAAUGAAUAUUAUAAACUAUAUUGUGGUAUAAUUGUUCUGUGGAAUUUGUAUAGUCAGAUAAAAAAUUCCAAGUAAUCACCCGUAAGAAAAAGCUAACAUGGAGAGAAAAAUGUAAGGUAUGCGAGGUAGAUGGUUUUAAUUGGUGGGAUCAUUGAUGAUGUUGUGGAAAUGGUUCAUGAAAUAAUUUUUCCACAAGAAUGGGAUCUUGAAUAGGGGUGCAAAUGAGUUGUGUCGAGCUAAAGUUUUUAAAAGCUCGAUCUUAAGCUCAACUUGAACUUUGAAGAUUAAAGCGCUGCUUGAGUUCGAUUGAGUUUCAUUUUUCAAAAACUUGAGUGUAAAGAUCGAACUGCUCAAGUUCACUUGAUUUGGCUUGUUUACCUAGUAAAAAAUGAGCUUGAUUCCCAUGCUCAAGUUCAAACUUACUUAUUUGUGCUCAAGCUUGAGUUCAAAUUGAAAUUUUUCAAUAUUAACUAAAGAUAAAAGGUUCAAGUCGCUUGAUGGCUCAAGCUUGAGCUCAACUUGAAGAUGACUGAUUUGAGUUUUUUUUUCUUCUCUUUGCCAAAUCCAAGUAAGGCUAUCAAGCUUGAGUUCAACUUGACAAUGACUGAAUUGAUUUGAGUUUUACUUGUAGCCGAAUCCAAGUGACUUAUGGGCACAUGUAUCUGGUUUUUACCCCUAUUAUUGAUGUUCAUUUUUUAGAUACGAGAGUUACACGUUUGUAAUUUUAGAUUAAUUCUAGAUGGUUGAGCCAUGCAUGAUUAGUUGAUUAAAGAAAUUACUUACUCUGAUGAAUCGAAAUAAUUUUCUUGUGAUAAAUAUUCCCCUUCAUUCUGUAUGUUGGAUUCAUCUUCAUGUUUAAAUUAUCCAAAUUAAAUGCUAAUUAUACUAUUAUGACCGAUCUCUGGUUAAACUUAUUGUGUAGGGAAACUAUUUGAUUCUAAAUGUUGCUUUUAAAAUAUUUUUGGAUUACCUUGUAGUGGAAUUCAAAAGCAGAUAUCUUCCAGCCCCAAUGCUAUUAAAUUAAUAGUAUUUUCAUUCAUAAGGAUCAGCUUGGCAUACACGGAGUUGAAGAUAAUUUGAGGUGAUGGCAAUUUUUGUGAAACUAAAGUUGAAUUCUGCAGAUUCCUUGUUAAUGCUUUAUGUUCUUAUGCACUCUUCCAUGGCUUAAAGUCAUUCAUUAAUGCCCAAAAAAUUGAGAGAAAUGGGGAUUAAAA